GUGCCAGCCGCCGCGGUAAUACAGAGGUCUCAAGCGUUGUUCGGAUUCAUUGGGCGUAAAGGGUGCGUAGGCGGCGAAGCAAGUCAGAUGUGAAAUCCCGGGGCUUAACCCCGGAACUGCAUUUGAUACUGCUUUGCUUGAGGACUGGAGAGGAGAUCGGAAUUCACGGUGUAGCAGUGAAAUGCGUAGAUAUCGUGAGGAAGGCCAGUGGCGAAGGCGGAUCUCUGGACAGUUCCUGACGCUGAGGCACGAAGGCCAGGGGAGCAAACGGGAUUAGAUACCCCCGUAGUCC
rnacentral:rRNA from 1 species